UACAGAGGGGCAAGCGUUGUUCGGAAUUACUGGGCGUAAAGGGCGCGUAGGUGGCCUUCUAAGUUGAACGUGAAAUCCCUGGGCUCAACCCAGGAACUGCGUCCAAGACUGGGAGGCUUGAAUCCGGGAGAGGGAUGCGGAAUUCCAGGUGUAGCGGUGAAAUGCGUAGAUAUCUGGAGGAACACCGGUGGCGAAGGCGGCAUCCUGGACCGGUAUUGACACUGAGGCGCGAAAGCCAGGGAGCAACGGG
rnacentral:rRNA from 1 species